AGUGAACGCUGGCGGUAGGCCUAACACAUGCAAGUCGAACGGCAGCACAGUAAGAGCUUGCUCUUACGGGUGGCGAGUGGCGGACGGGUGAGGAAUACACCGGAAUCUACUUUUUCGUGGGGGAUAACGUAGGGAAACUUACGCUAAUACCGCAUACGACCUACGGGUGAAAGCAGGGGAUCUUCGGACCUUGCGCGAUUGAAUGAGCCGAUGUCGGAUUAGCUAGUUGGCGGGGUAAAGGCCUACCAAGGCGACGAUCCGUAGCUGGUCUGAGAGGAUGAUCAGGCACACUGGAACUGAGACACGGCCCAGACUCCUACGGGAGGCAGCAGUGGGGAAUAUUGGACAAUGGGCGAAAGCCUGAUCCAGCCAUACCGCGUGGGUGAAGAAGGCCUUCGGGUUGUAAAGCCCUUUUGUUGGGAAAGAAAAGCAGCAGGUUAAUACCCCGCUGUUCUGACGGUACCCAAAGAAUAAGCACCGGCUAACUUCGUG
rnacentral:rRNA from 1 species